ensembl:lncRNA
AGGGGAGAGAGCUUCUAUCCAGUUUCCGGUCCAGGUUGACCCACAGCUCACUCACACACGCGUGCCCACCCAGUGGCUCUCGCUUUGAUGACUCCUAAGUCCCUGCUGCAUGACGGCACGCCGCUUAACACCCCCAGGACAGGGCACCAGCAAGGACUCCAAACCACGGAAGCCCUCGGGGGGGACCCUGCCUUGCACUCACCUCGAACAGGAGGUGGGCGGGUGAUGGACCAAUGCCGCACCCCCUAAUUCUGGGACGAUGCCGUUCCUCAAUCAUCCCUAGGACAAUGCACCAUGCCCCCACAGCCCCGGGACCACGCAACGUCCCCUGCUUCGGGGCAGCGCAACCCACCCUCUCCGCACCACCCAGCAGGACACGCGCACGCGCAAGACCGCGAGAGCGCGCCGCCGACUCCGUGCGAUGGCGCAUGCGCGUCGCCCCCUCCCCGCCCUAUCCCCCCGCACCGCAGAGCAGGGCUCGAACCGGUUGGGGGCGCGGCUCCUGUGGGGGCGUGUCCCGCGUAGGGGGCGUGUCCCGGAGGGGCGUGUGCCAUCGCGGCGCGCCCUGUCCAUGGUGCGGGCGGCGGCGGCGGCAGCGCCUGCUGGGGUAUCGCCGCGGCGGGAGAUCGGCGGCGCGGGGCCGCAUGGACGUGAUGUCCCCGCAACAGGAGCACCUCGGGCCCGGCCGCUCAUCCUCGGUGAGCGGAGAGAGUAGAGUGUUCGCCGCCGCCGACAGCAAGAAGAGGAGUAUGGUGUCACUGGCUGCCGAACACACUGGGAGGAUUAGGACACGGCCAGGUUAUGGUGUCCUUUAUUAAAGCUGUCCACCUGACACGCAGUAGCUUAAGCCCAGCCCAAUGGCGGGGGCUCUGUGGCUGAGGGGAGCCCAGUUCCACUCCUCCUCCAGAGCAUCUCUUUGGGCUGGAGCAUUUGUCCCUGGGAUGUGUCCCUGUGUGUCUCAUCCCACCGAGGCAUGCACCUGACUGCAGACCCAGGGACAUCUCAGGGCACAAGUAGAGUGCAAAAUGGCUUCUUGGGGAGUGCUUAGCCUGACUUCUGCCUACACCUUGAUUUGAUAAGUUUCUGAAGAAGGAGUGCAAUACACCUACAUGAAGGGGUGAAGUGUCUUCUGCUGGACAAAUGGAUGGAAUGAAUGCUUGCCCUCCCCAGUAUUACUGUGUAACCUGAAGCAGCUAAAUGUGUGGCUUUGAUUAUUCUCCUACUGCUUCUUUGAUUUUUUUCUGAAGACACCUUGCUGCCCUGAUGCCAGGCACCACCUGAAAUGAGAAGGAAUGUUCAAGUGCUGUGAAGAUGAACACUGCUUCCCUACAAAUUCUUUAUGAUUCAGCUUUCUGAAGACAAGAACUGAAGGCAGCACUUGUUCCUGCUCCCACUGAAGGAACGCAGACCUUGUUUUUGCCAGUGCUGACAAAGGAGUAGGGAUGUUACUUUUUACAGAUCUUGGCAGCUCUCUUGGAAUUCCUCAGCAUGCAGGCACAGACAAUGGGGGGUACAUAGGGAGUCCUCCUGAGCCACAAACAUCAGUCCAGCCUCUGUCCUCCUCCACAGUUCCAGUGCUCCCUGGAGUUUCCUUACAGGCUGCCUCUCCAUUUGGCUGGGGAAGAAGGUCCCUGCCUUCAUGCCUGUUCAACACUGGGCUAGUCCUAAAUCUGCUUGAAGCAGGAUCUCAAUGGCAGUUCAAAUUAUUUUUUGCUCUUAUUGUGCUAUGGACUCUCUGAGUACCUCUGUUUUGAGCUCCACAGAGUGCUAAGGCACAGCACUUUUUGACAAAGCAAGAAGGCUUUGUUAUUACAGGAC